GGGAACAGGAAAAAGCAAACUCAAGCACCAAUUCUUCAGUAGUACUUCUUACAAUGACCAGUUGACAUUGAAACAGUUCAGGGCUAGAAAGGUGCCUGAUGGAGCUGGUCUUUCAGAUGGAAUGAGCCCCUGCUUCUGAUCUCUCCCACCGAUGGAAUGGCUGCUCACAGCUGAGAUGUGAGCCAAAUCAGAGAAUUCAAGAAAAGAUUGUAUGUAGUUGCAGAUGACAAAAUCAGGGUCAAACAAUACACUUCCUUUAUCAGCAUUGCAACAGAGAAUGGGAAUUAUAUAUUUUUAUAAAAAAGAAAACCAUGGUCAGUACUUUCCACCUAAAAUACCAACAUCCUUGGUGGAACAAUAAUUACAAAAUAAAGACAGGUUUUCAAACGUU